rnacentral:lncRNA from 1 species
UAGGAGCAAUUCAGGGUAGGAUGGAUCCACAUGGGCCUGGAGGACCGGCCUGGGGAGGCCCUGGAGGGUGGGGUCCGGUUCCACCUGGUGGGCCUGGGUUUCCUGGUGUCCCUGGUUCUUGGGGGCCUGGGUUCGGUGGAUUCUUCAGAUCCUGGUAAGUUGAAUUCUCAGCUAACUGAUGGAGAUCAUCAGUCAUUCAGUUAAAUGUCAAAUUUUUUUCCUUCUAAAAAAUCAGACUAUUCACCCUGGCAGACAAUUAGUCUGGUUCAGGGAUCAAGUGUAAUUUUUUUAGCACCAACUCAAGCUUCAAUUCCAAGCCGUGAUGCAUGUAUACUAUUAAUACUUUAAUUUUGCACCUCUGAACCCCUUUUGUUUUAUAUAUUAAUAAACCUGCAACUCUGAACAAGUGUUUCUUCUGCAGCUUCUAUCUCCUGUGCUGCUGCUGCCUGCUCCAAGAUUGCUGCGGCCCUCUCUUCGGACGACCGGGCCCUGGCGGCCCGCCACCCCCUUUCUGAUAGCCUGCGGAGCUUCUGGCUACAAGAAACAACUCAUUCGACCACAAUUCCUAGACUAA